CAGUAGCCGCGGGAAUACAGAGGGUGCGAGCGUUAAUCGGAUUUACUGGGCGUAAAGCGUGCGUAGGCGGCUAAUUGAGUCGGAUGUGAAAUCCCCGAGCUUAACUUGGGAAUUGCAUUCGAUACUGGUUAGCUAGAGUGUGGGAGAGGAUGGUAGAAUUCCAGGUGUAGCGGUGAAAUGCGUAGAGAUCUGGAGGAAUACCGAUGGCGAAGGCAGCCAUCUGGCCUAACACUGACGCUGAGGUACGAAAGCGUGGGGAUCAAACAGGAUUAGAUACCCCUGUAGUCCCUGUCUCUUAUAC
rnacentral:rRNA from 1 species